UACGUAGGGGGCAAGCGUUGUCCGGAUUUAUUGGGCGUAAAGAGCGUGUAGGCGGCCAGGUAGGUCAGCUGUGAAAACUCGAGGCUCAACCUCGAGACGUCGGUUGAAACCACCUGGCUAGAGUCCGGAAGAGGAGAGUGGAAUUCCUGGUGUAGCGGUGAAAUGCGCAGAUAUCAGGAAGAACACCCGUGGCGAAGGCGGCUCACUGGCCCGGUACUGACGCUGAGGCGCGAAAGCGUGGGGAGCAAACAGG
rnacentral:rRNA from 1 species